rnacentral:rRNA from 1 species
CCUACGGGAGGCAGCAGUAAGGAAUAUUGGACAAUGGACGCAAGUCUGAUCCAGCCAUGCCGCGUGAAGGAUUAAGGCCCUCUGGGUUGUAAACUUCUUUUAUAGGGGACGAAAAAGGGCUUUCUAGCUCGACUGACGGUACCCUAUGAAUAAGCACCGGCUAACUCCGUGCCAGCAGCCGCGGUAAUACGGAGGGUGCAAGCGUUAUCCGGAUUCACUGGGUUUAAAGGGUGCGUAGGCGGGCAUUUAAGUCAGUGGUGAAAUCUUCGAGCUCAACUCGGAAACUGCCAUUGAUACUAUUUGUCUUGAAUAUUGUGGAGGUGAGCGGAAUAUGUCAUGUAGCGGUGAAAUGCUUAGAUAUGACAUAGAACACCGAUUGCGAAGGCAGCUCGCUACACAAAUAUUGACGCUGAGGCACGAAAGCGUGGGGAUCAAACAGGAUUAGAUACCCUGGUAGUCCACGCCCUAAACUAUGGAUACUCGACAUUUGCGAUACACAGUAAGUGUCUGAGCGAAAGCAUUAAGUAUCCCACCUGGGAAGUACGACCGCAAGGUUGAAACUCAAAGGAAUUGACGCGNGAGAGAGACGAGACGACGACGAGGGAGAGG